rnacentral:rRNA from 1 species
GACGAACGCUGGCGGCGUGGAUUAGGCAUGCAAGUCGGACGGUAGGGCUUUAUCGUAAGAUAGAGUUUGAGAGUGGCGAACGGGUGAGUAACACGUAGGAAUCUACCCUUAAGACGGGGACAACCCAGGGAAACUUGGGCUAAUACCGGAUGAGAGUGCGAGAGAUUGCAUUUAAAAGGAUGGCGAAAGUUGUCGCUUAGGGAUGAGCCUGCGGUCUAUUAGUUAGUUGGUGAGGUAAGAGCUCACCAAGGCGAUGAUAGAUAGGCGGCCUUAACGGGUGGUCGCCCACACUGGGAUUGAGAUACGGCCCAGACUCCUACGGGAGGCAGCAGUCGAGAAUAGUCUACAAUGGCCGGAAGGCUGAUAGUGCGACGCCGCGUGAACGAGGGAGCCCUUCGGGUUGUAAACCUCUGUCAUGGGGGAAAAGUAAGUGACGGUACCCCAAGAGGAAGCCCCUGCUAACUACGUGCCAGCAGCCGCGGUAAAGGUAGUACA